CGCCUGUUUAUCAAAAACAUGUCCUUUUGAUUAGAAUUGAAGGUCUGACCUGCCCACUGAUUAAAUAUUAAAGGGCCGCGGUAUUUAUGACCGUGCAAAGGUAGCAUAAUCAUUAGUCUUUUAAUUGAAGACUGGAAUGAAUGGUUUAACGAAAUAUAAACUGUCUCAUAAUAAUAUUUAAAAUUUAAUUAUUGAGUGAAAAAGCUUAAAUAAGAUUGGAGGACGAGAAGACCCUAUAGAGCUUUAUAUAAUUUUUUAUGAAUAUAUUUAGGAAUUAUGAGAGUAUUUAUAUAUAAUUGUAUUUUAUUGGGGUGAUAAGAAGAUUUAAAGAACUCUUUGUUGAUUUUAACAUAGAUUUAUGAAUUAUUGAUCCAUUAAUAGUGAUUAUAAGAUUAAGUUACCUUAGGGAUAACAGCGUAAUUUUUUUUGAGAGUUCUUAUCAAUAAAAAAGAUUGCGACCUCGAUGUUGGAUUAAGAAUAUAAUUAGGUGAAGAAGUUUAAAAUAUAAGUCUGUUCGACUUUUAAAUUCUUACGUGAUCUGAGUUCAGACCGG
rnacentral:rRNA from 1 species